rnacentral:rRNA from 1 species
CCUACGGGAGGCAGCAGUGGGGAAUAUUGCGCAAUGGGCGAAAGCCUGACGCAGCGACGCCGCGUGAGGGAUGAAGGUCUUCGGAUCGUAAACCUCUGUCAGCAGGGAAGAACGGUCACUGUGCUAAUCAGCAGUGAAUUGACGGGACCUGCAAAGGAGGCACCGGCUAACUCCGUGCCAGCAGCCGCGGUAAUACGGAGGGUGCGAGCGUUAAUCGGAGUUACUGGGCGUAAAGCGCGCGUAGGCGGUAUGUCAAGUCAAGGGUGAAAUCCCCGGGCUCAACGUGGGAACUGCCUUUGAAACUGGCAGACUGGAGUGUGUGAGAGGAUAGUGGAAUUCCAGGUGUAGGAGUGAAAUGCGUAGAUAUCGGGAGGAACAUCAGUGGCGAAGGCGACUAUCUGGCACAUAACUGACGCUGAGGAGCGAAAGCGUGGGUAGCAAACAGGAUUAGAUACCCGAGUAGUC